AUGGUCUAUGAUAAAACCGUGGACUGCAUGCAGUGCUUAUGGAAACCUUGCUUGAAGAAUCAUUAUAUCUUUGUCCAUGAAUGGUCUAUGUUUCUCAGACGAAACACUAAACUUGGUGUAAUAUGCUUCCUGGCAAUGUACCUGAAUUCUGAAAUGCAUUUUUGUCGCUGCUCUUAUGACCUGUCUUGGAUUAUUGUGCUUGCUUUCUCCCAUAAGUUGGAGAAGGGGCUGUUUGCCGUUAAAUGUGUUGGAUUCUAUUUGGCAUCAGCUCUAGAAGUCUCUUUACAAACUAAACCAUCAUGA
rnacentral:rRNA from 1 species